UCCAGCUGUCGUAUCACCCUGCAGCUCCCAGCUGGCAGCCCACUGGAGCAGGUGUGAGCCUGGCCAGUACCUGGAUGGGAGACCUCCUGGGAAAAACUAAGGUUGCUGCUGGAA
rnacentral:rRNA from 1 species